rnacentral:rRNA from 1 species
GAUCAUGGCUCAGGACGAACGCUGGCGGCGUGCUUAACACAUGCAAGUCGAACGGGGCAUAGAGAUAUGCCUAGUGGCGGACGGGUGAGUAACACGUGAGCAACCUAUCCUAUACAACGGGGAUAACACAGAGAAAAUUUGUGCUAAUACGGUAUAAGACCACACUCCGGCAUCGGANGGGGUAAAAGCUGAGGCGGUAUAGGAGGGGGCUCGCGGCCCAUUAGCUAGUUGGAGAGGUAAACGGGCU